GACGAACGCUGGCGGCGUGCUUAACACAUGCAAGUCGAACGGUGAUGCUCCAGCUUGCUGGAGUGGAUCAGUGGCGAACGGGUGAGUAACACGUGAGCAACCUGCCCCAGACUCUGGAAUAAGCGCUGGAAACGGCGUCUAAUACUGGAUACGAAACUGGCCCGCAUGGGCAUGGUUUGGAAAGUUUUUCGGUUUGGGAUGGGCUCGCGGCCUAUCAGCUUGUUGGUGAGGUAAUGGCUCACCAAGGCGACGACGGGUAGCCGGCCUGAGAGGGCGACCGGCCACACUGGGACUGAGACACGGCCCAGACUCCUACGGGAGGCAGCAGUGGGGAAUAUUGCACAAUGGGCGAAAGCCUGAUGCAGCGACGCCGCGUGAGGGAUGACGGCCUUCGGGUUGUAAACCUCUUUCAGCAGGGAAGAAGCGAAAGUGACGGUACCCGCAGAAGAAGCACCGGCUAACUAUGUG
rnacentral:rRNA from 1 species